AGAGAGAGAGAGAGAGAGAGAGAGAGAGAGAGAGAGAGAGAGAGAGAGAUUGGCUCUUUUUUUUUGUUCAAAAAGAGUGCAUGCAGUUCAGUGCAGCCACAAUAAGAGUAUAAACAAGUACAGAAGUUUACCCCCAUGGUCUAUUUGACAAACUGACCUCCAGGUCACAACCUGAGAGUUUAUUGAUCACUGGGGCCUUGUCUGGGUAUAAGCAUGUUUUCUGGACUUUGGUUGAAGUGACAUUCCUGACUUCUGAAAGAGGAGUGGGUGUGGACUUCCAGCAGGAGUAGCCAGUGGGAAGGAAGUGAUAUUCAUUAAGGGCAUUUCAUGCAAGCAGUGCAGGGCUAAGCAUGCUCAGUGUAAAUUCUCCUGUAGCCUGUCAAGCUAUGUUUGAACUCAUUCCAGAAUACUGGAUUUACUUUUUUUUUUUCCCCACAAGGAAGAAUGCCUGAUUAGUCUGCAUUUUGCUUGCUUGCUUGCUUUUCUUUCUUUCUUCUUUUUUUUUUUCUCGGUGUAGGGCACCAGAAGAUUGGAAACAAUAUUCUUUUUUGAUCAGUUCAGUAAUACAAUGUCCUUGAAUGUUCAUAUGAGCAUUUCAGUGGAGAAGAAAAGAAACUUUGCUACCUGAGAACUGAAGACUACUUAGUAAAGAUUCUGGAAUGCCACGUUCAUCUUUCAAAGCCUGCUGGACUGUUUGAUGCCUUCAAGAACUGUUUCUUGACUCUGUGGAAGUUAGACAUAGAACACUCUCCUCUGGCUGACAUGCAGGUGGCGACCUCCUGAAGCAGACUUGGCAUCUUGAUUAAAAGAUGUAGCUAACAAUGACAAAAAUGGCCUCAUGAAAGAUCUUCCCUCUCCCCCAAGAAAUGAAGCAGUACCACCCACCAGCUAAAUACAAAGAGGUAAUAUUUAUGGUCUUUUCAUUUGUUUAAUUUGCCCUAGACAGAAAAUUACUGUGACUUUAGACAUAUUCCCUAUAACACUUGGUCCAUGGCAAGGAAGGUGAUCCUUGAAGGUAAUUAGCAUUGUUCAACAAGAGCAAGUUAAUUAAG
rnacentral:lncRNA from 1 species